rnacentral:rRNA from 1 species
AACGAACGCUGGCGGCAUGCCUAACACAUGCAAGUCGAACGAGACCUUCGGGUCUAGGGGCGCACGGGGGCGUAACGCGGGGGAACCUGCCCUUAGGUUCGGAAUAACUCCCCGAAAGGGGUGCUAAUACCGGAUAAUGUCUUCGGACCAAAGAUUUAUCGCCUUUGGAUGGGCCCGCGUUGGAUUAGCUAGUUGGUAGGGUAAAAGCCUACCAAGGCGACGAUCCAUAGCUGGUCUGAGAGGAUGAUCAGCCACACUGGGACUGAGACACGGCCCAGACUCCUACGGGAGGCAGCAGUGGGGAAUAUUGGACACUGGGCGAAAGCCUGAUCCAGCAAUGCCGCGUGAGUGAUGAAGGCCUUAGGGUUGUAAAGCUCUUUUACCCGGGAUGAUAAUGACAGUACCGGGAGAAUAAGCUCCGGCUAACUCCGUG